rnacentral:rRNA from 1 species
AUUGAACGCUGGCGGCAGGCUUAACACAUGCAAGUCGAGCGGAGAUGAGGUGCUUGCACCUUAUCUUAGCGGCGGACGGGGGAGUAAUGCUUAGGAAUCUGCCUAUUAGUGGGGGACAACAUUCCGAAAGGAAUGCUAAUACCGCAUACGCCCUACGGGGGAAAGCAGGGGAUCUUCGGACCUUGCGCUAAUAGAUGAGCCUAAGUCGGAUUAGCUAGUUGGUGGGGUAAAGGCCUACCAAGGCGACGAUCUGUAGCGGGUCUGAGAGGAUGAUCCGCCACACUGGGACUGGGACACGGCCCAGACUCCUACGGGAGGCAGCAGUGGGGAAUAUUGGACAAUGGGCGGAAGCCUGAUCCAGCCAUGCCGCGUGUGUGAAGAAGGCCUUUUGGUUGUAAAGCACUUUAAGCGAGGAGGAGGCUACCUGGAUUAAUACUCUAGGAUAGUGGACGUUACUCGCAGAAUAAGCACCGGCUAACUCUGUGCCAGCCGCCGCCGUAAAAC